rnacentral:rRNA from 1 species
UGGUGAAGCGAUUUGUCUGGUUAAUUCCGAUAACGAACGAGACUCUGGCCUAUUAAAUAGUUCGCCGAUUCCGAUCUGUCGGCGUUAACUUCUUAGAGGGACAAGUGGCUUUUAGCCACGCGAGAUUGAGCAAUAACA